rnacentral:rRNA from 1 species
AACGAACGCUGGCGGCAUGCCUAACACAUGCAAGUCGAACGAGACCUUCGGGUCUAGUGGCGCACGGGUGCGUCACGCGUGGGAACCUGCCCUUAUGUUCGGAAUAACUCCCCGAAAUGGGUGCUAAUACCGGAUAAUUUCUUCUGACCAAAGAUUUAUCGACUUUGGAUGGGCCCGCGUUGGAUUAGCUAGUUGGUAGUGUAAAAGCCUACCAAGGCGACGAUCCAUAGCUGGUCUGAGAGGAUGAUCAGCCACACUGGGACUGAGACACGGCCCAGACUCCUACGGGAGGCAGCAGUGGGGAAUAUUGGACAAUGGGCGAAGGCCUGAUCCAGCAAUGCCGCGUGAGUGAUGAAGGCCUUAGGGUUGUAAAGCUCUUUUACCCGGGAUGAUAAUGACAGUACCGGGAGAAUAAGCACCGGCUAACUCCGUG